rnacentral:rRNA from 1 species
CGGUGAGGUAACCCGCAAGGGAGCCAGCCGCCGAAGGUGGGGCAAGUGAUUGGGGUGAAGUCGUAACAAGGUAGCCGUACCGGAAGGUGCGGCUGGAUCACCUCCUUUCUAAGGGGA